rnacentral:rRNA from 1 species
GACGAACGUUGGCGGCGUGCUUAACACAUGCAAGUCGAACGGAAAGGCCCUGCUUUUGUGGGGUGCUCGAGUGGCGAACGGUUGAGUAACACGUGAGUAACCUGCCCUUGACUUUGGGAUAACUUCAGGAAACUGGGGCUAAUACCGGAUAGGAGCUCCUGCUGCAUGGUGGGGGUUGGAAAGUUUCGGCGGUUGGGGAUGGACUCGCGGCUUAUCAGCUUGUUGGUGGGGUAGUGGCUUACCAAGGCUUUGACGGGUAGCCGGCCUGAGAGGGUGACCGGCCACAUUGGGACUGAGAUACGGCCCAGACUCCUACGGGAGGCAGCAGUGGGGAAUAUUGCACAAUGGGCGGAAGCCUGAUGCAGCAACGCCGCGUGCGGGAUGACGGCCUUCGGGUUGUAAACCGCUUUCGCCUGUGACGAAGCGUGAGUGACGGUAAUGGGUAAAGAAGCACCGGCUAACUACGUGCCAGCAGCCGCGGUGAUACGUAGGGUGCGAGCGUUGUCCGGAUUUAUUGGGCGUAAAGGGCUCGUAGGUGGUUGAUCGCGUCGGAAGUGUAAUCUUGGGGCUUAACCCUGAGCGUGCUUUCGAUACGGGUUGACUUGAGGAAGGUAGGGGAGAAUGGAAUUCCUGGUGGAGCGGUGGAAUGCGCAGAUAUCAGGAGGAACACCAGUGGCGAAGGCGGUUCUCUGGGCCUUUCCUGACGCUGAGGAGCGAAAGCGUGGGGAGCGAACAGGCUUAGAUACCCUGGUAGUCCACGCUGUAAACGGUGGGUACUAGGUGUGGGGUCCAUUCCACGGGUUCCGUGCCGUAGCUAACGCUUUAAGUACCCCGCCUGGGGAGUACGGCCGCAAGGCUAAAACUCAAAGGAAUUGACGGGGCCCCGCACAAGCGGCGGAGCAUGCGGAUUAAUUCGAUGCAACGCGUAGAACCUUACCUGGGUUUGACAUGGAUCGGGAGUGCUCAGAGAUGGGUGUGCCUCUUUUGGGGUCGGUUCACAGGUGGUGCAUGCCUGUCGUCAGCUCGUGUCGUGAGAUGUUGGGUUAAGUCCCGCAACGAGCGCAACCCUUGUUCACUGUUGCCAGCACGUUAUGGUGGGGACUCAGUGGAGACCGCCGGGGUCAACUCGGAGGAAGGUGGGGAUGACGUCAAGUCCUCAUGCCCCUUAUGUCCAGGGCUUCACGCAUGCUACAAUGGCUGGUACAGAGAGUGGCGAGCCUGUGAGGGUGAGCGAAUCUCGGAAAGCCGGUCUCAGUUCGGAUUGGGGUCUGCAACUCGACCUCAUGAAGUCGGAGUCGCUAGUAAUCGCAGAUCAGCAACGCUGCGGUGAAUACGUUCCCGGGGCU